rnacentral:lncRNA from 1 species
AAGCUACGAAGUAAUUUGUUUUAUAUAUUUGUAUAAGCCAUGCGUUUGCGUUCAACAAAAUACAUCUUUGUAUAUAUAUCCCAUAAUCACGUCUGAAGAUCUCAAGCACUAAAUUAUGUAAAAAAUAACAAAAAAAUAAUUCAAAUGCAUAUACUUGCAAUGAACUUCAAAAAAGAUCAAAUCUCAUGUAAUACAUACGAAUAAAGUAAAUUAUUUCAAGGUUCAUGCUUGUAACUUUGCAAAAUCAAGUAUAUUAUUGUAGCAUCAGGAAUAAAAAAAAAAUCGUAAUUGUCCAAUUUUUCAUCACUAAAUUCCAAUAUAUCAAAUUGUCUUUUGGCACCAUUUUUAAUUGCUCAUCAGAAUUUUCCUGCAAAAUAAAAUUUGUAAUUAGAUAGAAAUCAACAGUAUGCAAGUGUAAACUCAGAGCAAUGUGGUAGAGUCUGCCCCUUGGGGACUAUGAAUAAUACUAUCAUAUAAGUAUGAGUUAUACAUAUACACAACUAAAAUAAAUGACAAAAGUAGAGGAAACUCUGUAUAUGUUAGAGUUUUGAGAUGAAAAUAUAAUUGUGUUAGAAUGAUUUGAGUAACAGAACCUAUGAACAAAAAUCAUGCUAUAUUUGCCUUCUUUAUUUGUUUUCUUAGCAUCCAGACAUCUUGUUAUAUUCUCUCUAGGGUUGAAUAGGCUACUUCAUUGGAAAACCAACUUAUUAGAAAUUCUUUUUCUACCAAAUAUUUAUAUAUCCUUUCUAUUGCCAGAAUAUAUUGAAAUUCUUCAAUUACUAGACUAGUAUGACUUUGUUUCUUCCUUACAUUAAAUUGUUGUAUACUGAUGGACAAAUUAGGUUAGUGAACUUCUUUUUUAACGGAAAUUUAACUUUAGCACAUAGCAUAUAAUCAAUCAGAUCACUUUCAAUUAUGCUAGGAAUAACCAAAUACAAACACCUUACCCAAGCGAAGAAUGUUGCUAGAUAGAAUUUGGAAUUUCCAGUCUGCUAUCUGAUUAAUAGUUUCUAAGCUCGAAAUGUAAUCUACUAGUGAAUACCUCUUUAGGUGACUACAGUCACUUAGCUACCAUUGAAUCUAGCAAGAAAUUAAAAGCGCAAACUUCUAUUCCACUAACCCUCCGAUUUGUACAGAGACAAUACUUAAAAACAUCCAUCAGAUAAUUUUCUAACUCAAUUUUAACCUAAAAAAACAUUAGUCACUACAAUUUAACUACCUAUCAUAGCAAAGAUAAUCAUGUAAGAUCUCUAUUCACAUAAAAGUUGAGCUAAAUAAAGGACAGUGAGGGCAUUUAAAAUAUUUUGUGUAAUUGAAAGUGAGUGAAAAAGAUAUACUUAUUGGGAAGUGAAUAACUUUAUUCACUUGACAUCCUCUUUCACUUCAUAAUUUUUGGGGUUACCAGGAAAAAACUCAUUUCAAAAUAUCUGAAAAAUUAGGAAGAAAAGAAACUCAUUGAUAGCUCAUCAAGGCUUUAUUCUAUUAUGCAUCAUAACUGAAACUUGGAUCAGUUUGACAGAUCAAAAAAACUAGCAGAUACUAAUACUUCCAGGAAUAAGAAAAGUGCUAUCAGUAAAAGACUUAACAAAGAAACUAAGCAUGCCAUAGCAAGAAAAUAGAAACAGAUUAAUGUUAUUACCUUGCAAAGUUCAAGAAAGCACCUCAAUAUUGCCUUUUCAUUUUAUGUUAAAACCUUGGAUAUGAAAAAUUAAGAGAGAUAAGAAGGCACAAGGAAGUCUAACCUUAUUCAUAUCACAUCGAAACAAGCUUGUUGUCAUUACAGAGAUGCAAUAGAUAGUUAAAUUAUCUAUGUGUUCAUGAAAGGAAGUUGCUAAUAAAAUUUAAAGACAGUAAGGACUUCCAUGUAAUAGAAAGUGUGAUUCUAUACCAAGCAAAAUAAAAAAGGAGAUAGCUCCAAUCUAAACCAAACUAAUAUGUGCUCACACACAUUGUCUUUGGAAAAAAAAGAAGAUAAAUCUUCUCAUCGCAAGAUUACUGAGUAGCAAUAAAAAUUGCUUUCUUCACAUUAAGCAUGUCGCUCAAGAACAAACACCAAAUGAGGAAAGAACGUCAGAAAAUAUUAGGAUAUAAGAGAGACAUCAAUUGUAAUUAGUGCACCCCCAUUAACUUUAGCUGAAUGAUCUUGUCAUAUUAUCUAAAACAAAGCUUCUAAUGUCACUUUUACACUGUUAUUAUGCAUUUCUUCAAAGUAAAUAUGAUCGACUAAUAGAUAAAUAUCUUGUUCAUUCAUUCUAUUUGUACAAGUUUACAAAUGCAAGACGUGAAUAAAAUAAAUGCAGCUCUGAGACUUUGUGAAUGCAAGUAAUAUAGGAAUUUGAAACUAGACAACACUACUUAUAUAGGUAGAGUUUUUGUUUUACCAGAACUUAAAAACACCCACAAAACAGAAAGAAGUUGAAGUAUCUUGUGCCUCUUGGGGUCGCUGAGCAACUACUACCUUCUUCUUCACCUUCGCAAUCCUAUGAAUCAAAUUUAAGACUUAGUGCAGACAAAAUGUUAAAUGACACACCAACAUAAACAAAUCCUGAAGUGUUUGGUAGAAGAUUAACAACAUUAUACUAAGAAGCAAACCCACAACUAUAGCAACCAAAAUUACCAUAGAUAUGAGUAGCUAUGACUAACCGAUACAUCAAAAAUUAAGAAAUACAAUGUACUAUGAGAUAAGAACCAACACCAUACUAGAAACAAAUCGUGAUGAAUGAGGAAGUCACGGCGGCUAGCACUGAACAAGUUGACCAAUAUUACAUUCUAGUCACAAACAGCAAACCAAUGAACAAAAUUAGUGAUUAGAAAAUGUCGGGAUGGUAAAAUUUUGAUGCUAUUAAUAAAUACAACGAGUGAUGAGGAAACAAAUCUACAAGUUACAACUCGAUUUCACCGAAUGAGUUCGCCUGAGCAGAGCAAGUUCUCUAGUGGAGGAAAUUAUUUAAAAUUAGGACAAGUGGAUCCCUAAAUAGGAUCUAUAUUUGGAGUUGAUACAGUCCAUUAGAGGAAUUUGGGUCGCGGUGGAGGUGAAGGAGCGGUGAAGGAGCGGAGGAAAUUUCGGAAAAGGUGAAAUAUUUUAGUUUUGGAAUUGGGCAAAAUAUUCAGCGGGUAUUCCUUUUGUCUUGUCAAAAUUGGGGGGAAGGAAAAAUUUUAAUAGUAAUUUUUAGAGUACACUUUAUAAGUGUUGCUUUUAGGAUGCAAAAAUAACACCCUCAAUAAACGUUGUAUUAUAGGCCAAAAAAUGUUACAAAAUAUUUCAUGUUUUGGAAACACUUAAAAAUCAUCGCCUUUCUAUUGAAAGAGAACGCUUUAGAAGCGUC